GACGAACGCUGGCGGCGUGCUUAACACAUGCAAGUCGAGCGAUGAGAUCACUUCGGUGAAGGAUUAGCGGCGAACGGGUGAGGAACACGUGAAGAAUCUGCCUUCAACUCUGGGAUAACUCCGGGAAACCGGGGCUAAUACCGGAUAUGAGCCUUGAUCGCAUGAUCGGGGCUGGAAAGUUUUUCGGUUGAAGAUGACUUCGCGGCCUAUCAGCUUGUUGGUGAGGUAAUGGCUCACCAAGGCGACGACGGGUAGCCGGCCUGAGAGGGCGACCGGCCACACUGGGACUGAGACACGGCCCAGACUCCUACGGGAGGCAGCAGUGGGGAAUAUUGGGCAAUGGAGGAAACUCUGACCCAGCGACGCCGCGUGCGGGAUGAAGGCCUUCGGGUUGUAAACCGCUUUCAGCAGGGAAUAAGCGCAAGUGAAGGUACCUGCAGAAGAAGC
rnacentral:rRNA from 1 species